rnacentral:rRNA from 1 species
AACAAAAACAUCUCUUUUUGAUUUUUAUAUAAAGUAUAACCUGCCCACUGAUAUUAUUAAAUGGCCGCAGUAUUUUGACUGUGCAAAGGUAGCAUAAUAAUUAGUUUUUUAAUUAAAAGCUUGUAUGAAUGGUUGAACGAGGUAAAUUCUGUCUUUAAUUGAUUUAAAAUUGAAUUUAAUUUUUAAGUUAAAAAGCUUAAAUUUUUUUAAAAGACGAGAAGACCCUAUAGAUCUUUAUUAUUUUUUUUAAAAUAAUUUAUUUAGAAAUUUAUUUAUUAUUUUAUUUAUAUAAUUUUAUUGGGGUAAUAUAAAGAUUAAAUAAAUUCUUUAUUUUUAAAACAUAAAUUUAUGAUUUUUAUGAUCCAGUUUUAUUGAUUAUAAGAUUAAGUUACUUUAGGGAUAACAGCGUAAUUUUUUUAAAGAGU